AGUUAAUAUUCUGCUACUUGUGUAAGUUUCGAUGGGGUGACGGAGAAGUGAAAGCACCGCGAACUGACGGAUUAGUUCGUUGAAGUACCUAGGUAUAUCUUAAGCAGGCAAAUCCGCUUUUGAUGCUGAAAUACGACAGUACCUUGAACCUUCGGGGGAUAGGAUGGUGCCUAAUCAGGCUCCCAAGAAAAACCUCUAAGGCUAGGCUUAUACAAUCCGUACCGUAAAUCGACACAGAUGGGUGAGGAGAAUAUCCUAAGGCGCUCGGAUGAGCCGCGGCUAAGGAACUCGGCAAAAUAGUUCCGUAACUUCGGGAGAAGGAACGCCCCCAGCAAUGGGGGCCGCAGUGAAAAGGCUCAGGCAACUGUUUAACAAAAACACAGGACUCUGCUAAAUCGAAAGAUGACGUAUAGGGUCUGACACCUGCCCGGUGCUGGAAGGUUAAGAAAGGAGGUCAGCCGCAAGGCGAAGCUUCCGAUUGAAGCCCCAGUAAACGGCGGCCGUAACAAUAACGGUCCUAAGGUAGCGAAAUUCCUUGUCGGGUAAGUUCCGACCUGCACGAAUGGUGUAAUGAUCUGAGCACUGUCUCAGCCGCGAGUCCGGUGAAAUUGAAGUAUCGGUGAAGAUGCCGAUUACCCGCAACGGGACGGAAAGACCCCAUGCACCUUCACUAUAACUUAGCAUUGAAUUUGAUUAAAUGAUGUGUAGGAUAGGUGGGAGACUUUGAAGCGGGAGCGCCAGCUUUCGUGGAGUCAACCUUGAAAUACCACCCUUUAUUUGAUUAGAUUCUAACUUUAGCCAUAAGGACAUUGCUUGGUGGGUAGUUUGACUGGGGUGGUCGCCUCCUAAAUUGUAACGGAGGCUUUCAAAGGUACCCUCAGUACGCUUAGUAACCGUACGCAGAGUGCAUUGGCACAAGGGUGCUUGACUGUAAGACAAACAAGUCGAGCAGGUGCGAAAGCAGGACAAAGUGAUCCGGUGGUUCCGUAUGGAAGGGCCAUCGUUCAUAGGAUAAAAGGUACGCUGGAUAACAGGCUGGUCUCCCCCAAGAGCUCACAUCGACGGGGAGGUUUGGCACCUCGAUGUCGGCUCGUCACAUCCUGGGGCUGGAGAAGGUCCCAAGGGUUGAGCUGUUCGCUCAUUAAAGUGGCACGCGAGCUGGGUUCAGAACGUCGCAAGACAGUUCGGUCCCUAUCUGUUGCGGGCGUUAGAAAUUUGAGAGGAGCUGACUCUAGUACGAGAGGACCGUGUCGGACGAACCUCUGGUGUACCAAUUGUGGCGCCAGCUGCAUUGUUGGGUAGCUAUGUUCGGAAAGGAUAAGCGCUGAAAGCAUCUAAGUGCGAAGCCUACCUCAAGAUGAGAUUUCUUUUAAGGGCCGUAGAAGAUUACUACGUUGAUAGGUCAUAGGUGUAAAGGUGGUAACAUCAAAGCCGAGUGAUACUAAUUGCCCGUUUACUUUAUUAG
rnacentral:rRNA from 1 species